rnacentral:rRNA from 1 species
GACGAACGCUGGCGGCGUGCCUAAUACAUGCAAGUAGAACGCUGAAGAGAGGAGCUUGCUCUUCUUGGAUGAGUUGCGAACGGGUGAGUAACGCGUAGGUAACCUGCCUUGUAGCGGGGGAUAACUAUUGGAAACGAUAGCUAAUACCGCAUAACAAUGGAUGACACAUGUCAUUUAUUUGAAAGGGGCAAUUGCUCCACUACAAGAUGGACCUGCGUUGUAUUAGCUAGUAGGUGAGGUAAUGGCCCACCUAGGCGACGAUACAUAGCCGACCUGAGAGGGUGAUCGGCCACACUGGGACUGGGACACGGCCCAGACUCCUUCGGGAGGCAGCAGUAGGGAAUCUUCGGCAAUGGGGGCAACCCUGACCGAGCAACGCCGCGUGAGUGAAGAAGGGUUUCGGAUCGUAAAGCUCUGUUGUAAGUCAAGAACGGGUGUGAGAGUGGAAAGUUCACACUGUGACGGUAGCUUACCAGAAAGGGACGGCUAACUACGUG